rnacentral:rRNA from 1 species
AACGAACGCUGGCGGCAGGCUUAACACAUGCAAGUCGAACGCCCCGCAAGGGGAGUGGCAGACGGGUGAGUAACGCGUGGGAACAUACCCUUUUCUACGGAAUAGCUCUGGGAAACUGGAAUUAAUACCGUAUACGCCCUACGGGGGAAAGAUUUAUCGGGGAAGGAUUGGCCCGUGUUGGAUUAGCUAGUUGGUGGGGUAAAGGCCUACCAAGGCGACGAUCCAUUGCUGGUCUGAGAGGAUGAUCAGCCACAUUGGGACUGAGACACGGCCCAAACUCCUACGGGAGGCAGCAGUGGGGAAUAUUGGACAAUGGACGCAAGCCUGAACCGGCCAUGCCGCGUGAGUGAUGAAGGCCUUAGGGUUGUAAAGCUCUUUCACCGAUGAAGAUAAUGACGGUAGUCGGAGAAGAAGCCCCGGCUAACUUCGUGCCAGCCGCCGCUGUAAUAC